GGUAGCUCAGUGGUAGAGUGCUCAAGUCGGGAGGUGACUGACAUUGGUUCGAGCCCAAUAAGGAACA